GAUGAACGCUGGCGGCGUGCUUAACACAUGCAAGUCGAGCGGGCAAUUUAUCUAGCACUGAUUACUUCAAAUGGAAAUCAUAAGUGUAAUCAUGAAUUUCUACCUUUAAUAAAGAAAAAGAAAUUCAUGUACGCAAAUAGUGAUAACACAUUUUAGUGAAGUGAUGAGUGCUGGAUAAAUUGCUAGCGGCGGACGGGUGCGUAACACGUGGGUAACCUGCCCCUAUCACUGGGGAUAACACACUGAAAAGUGUGCUAAUACCAGAUAAUAUAAGCUUUUGGCAUCAUUAGCUUAUCAAAGAAUUUCGGAUAGGGAUGGGCCCGCGUCUGAUUAGCUAGUUGGUGAGGUAACGGCUCACCAAGGCAACGAUCAGUAGCCGACCUGAGAGGGUGAUCGGCCACACUGGAACUGAGACACGGUCCAGAC
rnacentral:rRNA from 1 species